rnacentral:rRNA from 1 species
UUUUGCCUACGGGAGGCAGCAGUGAGGAAUAUUGGUCAAUGGACGCAAGUCUGAACCAGCCAUGCCGCGUGCAGGAAGACGGCUCUAUGAGUUGUAAACUGCUUUUGUACGAGGGUAAAUCCCGAUACGUGUAUCGGGUUGAAAGUAUCGUACGAAUAAGGAUCGGCUAACUCCGUGCCAGCAGCCGCGGUAAUACGGAGGAUUCAAGCGUUAUCCGGAUUUAUUGGGUUUAAAGGGUGCGCAGGCGGCCUGUUAAGUCAGCGGUAAAAGCCCGGGGCUCAACCCCGGCGAGCCGUUGAAACUGG